GACGAACGCUGGCGGCGUGCCUAAUACAUGCAAGUCGAACGAGAGCGCCCGGUGCUUGCACUGGUCAAUCUAGUGGCGAACGGGUGAGUAACACGUGGGUAACCUGCCCAUCAGAGGGGGAUAACAUCCGGAAACGGAUGCUGAAACCGCAUAGGUCUUCGAGCCGCAUGGCUUGAAGAGGAAAAGAGGCGCAAGCUUCUGCUGAUGGAUGGACCCGCGGUGCAUUAGCUAGUUGGUGAGGUAACGGCUCACCAAGGCCGUGAUGCAUAGCCGACCUGAGAGGGUGAUCGGCCACAUUGGGACUGAGACACGGCCCAAACUCCUACGGGAGGCAGCAGUAGGGAAUCUUCCGCAAUGGACGCAAGUCUGACGGAGCAACGCCGCGUGAGUGAAGAAGGUUUUCGGAUCGUAAAACUCUGUUGUUAGAGAAGAACAAGUGCUAGAGUAACUGUUAGCGCCUUGACGGUAUCUAACCAGAAAGCCACGGCUAACUACGUG
rnacentral:rRNA from 1 species